rnacentral:rRNA from 1 species
GUGUCAGCCGCCGCGGUAAUACGGAGGGUGCAAGCGUUGUUCGGAAUUAUUGGGCGUAAAGCGCGUGUAGGCGGUCUGUUAAGUCUGGUGUGAAAGCCCUGGGCUCAACCUGGGAAGUGCAUUGGAUACUGGCAGACUUGAGUACGGGAGAGGGAAGUGGAAUUUCGAGUGUAGGGGUGAAAUCCGUAGAUAUUCGAAGGAACACCGGUGGCGAAGGCGGCUUCCUGGACCGAUACUGACGCUGAGACGCGAAAGCGUGGGGAGCAAACAGGAUUAGAUACCCGCGUAGUCC